AAUUCUUCCCAAUUAAAACACAUAUUAACAUUCUAAAUCACAAACAAGAAAACAGCACCAGCACGAACAACAAGGCUAAAAAAAACCUAAAAAAUCCCAUCUUUUUUUUUCUUGACAGCAAGACUUUUGGGAUGAGCGGAACAAAGAAACCCUAACCCUAACCGCCGAACCCAUAAAGAGUCCUGCCCUGCCUCUUGAGCGCGUACACCACAUCCAUCGCCGUCACCGUCUUCCUCCUCGCGUGCUCGGUGUAGGUCACCGCAUCCCUGAUCACGUUCUCGAGGAAUAUUUUCAGGACCCCCCUCGUCUCCUCGUAGAUCAGCCCGCUGAUCCUCUUCACCCCGCCCCUCCUCGCGAGGCGGCGGAUCGCCGGCUUCGUGAUGCCCUGGAUGUUGUCG